CUUUAAAUUGCGACGGUCUCAUAUGUGAAAGUGAAAGUAGAUCUGUUGAACUAUUGACACAUUCAAGAUGCUAUAGUUUCUCGAUUAAUUACGUUGAAGGUCAUGCGAGAUUCGUUUAUUUUACCAUAAAAAUGAUCAAUCUUAAAUUCCUAAUCAUACCGUCGACGCUCAUAAUGAUGAUUUCUGAUGGUUUCAUUGUGCGAGGUCCUUCAGGUCCUCUGGUUGUUCCUCUGGGAGGUUCAGUUCUUCUGCCCUGUUCUGUUGAUUCACUCUCAUCACUGGAGGAUCUGGAGGUGGAAUGGAAGAGAUCAGACUCACAGACUCUCAUUCAUCUGUAUCAAGAUGGAGAUAUGGAGAGUUUUAAUGACCGAGCUCAUUUCUUCACUGAUGACUUUACAGUUGGAAACUUCUCUCUCCUGUUGAUGAAUGUGACCGCUGAGGAUGAAGGUCAAUACACAUGUACAGUUCACAGUGGACAAGAGUCUAACGAAACUGUGGUGGAAAUUAAAGUUGAGCGUCUGAUAGUGUCAGGAUCAAAUAAGUCCAUAUCAGUGUAUGUUGGUGAUGACGUGACUCUGAACUGCUCUGUGGACUCUCACAUCCCAUCUGAACACAUUGAAGAGGUUUCAUGGAAGAAAAGAGUUAAAGAUGAACACAUCACAGUUCUGCUCUAUGAAAGCAACAAGAUUCAUCCAGAUUCAUCAGAUGAGCAAUACAGAGACAGAGUCGAGUUCUUCAGUGAUGAAAUCCACAGAGGAAACUUCUCUCUCAGACUGAAGAGAGUCAGAACUGAAGAUAAAGGACUUUACAUGUGUCACGUGUUUGCUGGACGAUUCUCAGACAACACAACUAUAGUACUGCAACAACUGGGUUUGUCUGGUUUACACAUAGUGGUGUUGAUUCUGUGUAUUAUUGCAUGUGGAUCUGCUCUUCUCUUCUGUUCUCUCAUCUACUGCAGAUCAAACAACUCAGUUUUUCGUCUUCAGAUGUUUCUGGUCUUCUGUCCAAAUAUCAUCAUGUUUUUUGCUUUGGUCUUCUUGGGUGUUUCUGAAGGAUCUGUGUAUGAGACGGUCUGCUGUUGUGCUCUUUAUGUUGUCAGACCGGUCAUGUUGCUCUAUACUGCUCCAUAUGUUCAACAGUUCACAGGCAACAUUAAAACAUGGAUCCUGGUUUACAGUUAUGACACAGAAUAUAUUGUGUUCUCAUCUGUUCUUUAUUCAGUUCUUUUUCACUUUGCCUGGGGAAAAAGUCUGAAUUAUGCUGGAUUUGAAGCACUUAUAAUAAAAGUCCUCUUUGGAUUAGUUCUUCUGUUCUACCUCUUCUAUAGUAUUUACAUGUUUGGCAAAAUCUCUGGGAAAUUAAGUGAACAGGUGAUUAAAAUAUUAAAUGUUCUGGCUAAUACAUUCUUGGAUGUGCUGCCGUCAUUACAAUUAGUCAUCAUGUUCUACUCUUUUGGAUCAGCCAGAGGAGGUCUCUUCAUUGUUGCAGUUUUACCUGUGAUACUAUCUGCGACAAGAUGGAAUUGGGAUGUUACAUGUGGGCGGAAUGUGGGCUGUUCACCUUUGGUCAUGAGAUCAGUUUGGUUUGUAUUGAUGUUGUUGGUGACUACAGUAAUGAUGUUUUUCUACAUCAUGGCACUGGAAAAUGAAAAAGAUCGUAUUGGAUGGGCCUGUAUAAUGGGGUUUCUUCAAGUAUUAUGGACAAUUUUCCACUUUUCCUUGGCAUUUGAAGAUACAGAUUUUCCCCGUGUCAUCACGGUGUAUGUGUUUGGAUCAGUUGGUGUUGUUUUAAUCAGCGCUGUUGCUCUGAUGACAGAACUGAUACUGAAAGCCGUUAAUGGUGAAGGUCCGAUGGGUGAUCUAAGAAUCGUAAUAUUUUCCUGUGAAACUCUCUUCAUCUCAUCUGUGCUGAUUUUACUGGUGUUUGCACCAUGGAUCAAACCGUGUCUGGAGUCUUUCCAGGAAGAGUUACUGAGAUAAAGUGAGAAAUGGUCAUGUAGUCUCAAAAUGGUGGCAACAGUGAAGGAAGAACAUCAUUAUGUUCAAUAUAACAGAUUUUAUUAGAACCAUUUAUAUGACUAGUCUCUCUCAUAUGUAACUACAUGAUUUUUUACAUAUCUGUCAAAAAUAUUGUUCAAUUAUUUAAGUAUAAAUGUUUAAUGAGAAGACAAAACAGAUUUUUGAAUAGCUGUCCAAAAAUGUAAAGAUGUUGUGUAAUAUUGUUUAAAAUCCAUGGUUUCAUUAACACAGAAAUCUGAGGAGCAUUCUACCAAUGCAAGAUCAAAUCAAACUACACCCACUGGAUCAGUCUAGAACCUGAACCAGUCUUCUCAGAGUGCACCAGAAACUCCAGCCACUGAUGAAUCCAAACAGAACAAAGAAUCUCAUGAAAUGAACAAGAGACUGAUAGAAAUAAAGAAGAAACUCAACCUGAAUCUGUGGAAUCACAAACAUGAGAGAUGAUCAUCUACCGGGGUGCGUUUUACAACAACGACUUAAUACAAUGCAUCGUUGGGGAAAUUAACCAUGUUGUCACGCCUGUUUCCCAAAACCGUAUAGGCUAACUCUGUCGGAGAUCAAUUGUUUGAAGUUGGUUCUAGUUGAUGACAUCAGACAGGUGGUGGAGUGCAGUAAUAACGUCUACUUAUAAAUAAGUACAGAAGGAAUUAAUGUCAAAUUGUUGCUGUAAAUAAUCUACAUUGCAUGUAAAAAUUACAUUUGUUAUCCUAUUUUUGUCCUCUGUUGUUGAAAAUGUUUCCCCCAGGUCCUCAACCCCCAAAACAGCACGUUAAUUCUUUUGACAAACCAAAAGACAUUACAUGGAGUUUGUAUAUAUUUGGGAUCAUUAAUAUAGAAUGCAAUGUAUGGUGCUUGCUUAUUUUGCUCAAAAGCAUGAUGUAUGUAAGUCUAAAAAGAUACUAUGCUUCUACAGCUCGAGAGCAGUAGUUCCAACCACGCAACUUUGCGAUGCUGUUAGCGAAUGUUCGUUGGAACAUCGGGAAACACUUGAAUCUUUAAACUAUGCAGAUACAAUGGAAUUUACGACAAUAGUUGGCAAACAAUGCUUUUGGGAAACGCACCCGAGAACAUUUCUGUUACACUGAGACUGUUUUUUAUGUAAUGCAGAUGUUUUUUUAUUUUUUUCGAUUUGAAAAUGAGUGCAAUUAUGUGUAAGAUUUGUAUAUUUCUGUUUGUGAUACACUUGCUUUGUUUUUGUUAUACAGUAUAGAAUGAUUUCUGAGAUCAAGUCCAGCUGUUACUUCCACAGUAUUUGAAGAGUUCAGAUGCAAAACCCUCUAAAAUCCUCCUUUGUCAAAUUUUUUUUAUGAUGUUGAGGAAUGCUCCACACAAAGUGUAUGUUACUCAAAUAAUUUUGCUUCAAAAAACGCUAAAUACCACAUUCUGCCCGCUCUGACAAAUCUGGUAUUAAAGGGGUCAUAUGGCGCAAAUACGUGUUUUUCUGUGUCUUUGGUGUGUUAUAAGUUGCUCAUGCAUGUGUUAGACACGUAAAAUUGCAAAAAUGAAAGUGUUGGAACAAAAGAUGCAUUCUAUCUUAAAGCGAAUGCUCACCCAGACCUGCCUGAAACACCUUGUGUAACCACACCCCCACAAAUCUACAUCAGUUGGUGGUAUGAUUUGACUAAGACCGCCCAAAUGUAUACGCAUUAAGGUGGGCGACCUGUCAGUACAAUUGAAGAGGAACCUGAUGUUCCAAAUAUGGUAAGAGGCGUUACAUUUCCCUCACACGCAUGCAGUAUUCGACCAAUCACUACGCACUGGUUAACUGGCCAAUCAUAGCACACCUCGCUUUUCAGAGCAAUGAGCUUUGUAAAAAAUCUGCGCGUUUCAGAGAGGCGGAGCAAAGAGGAGAUGCAAACAUGCACGGUAUGUGGAAAAUACAGCGUUUUUGAAACCUUAAAUCGUGUAUACACAUUGCCUUACAUCUAAAACAAACCAUAAUAUUCAUUUUAGCCCGUGUCAUAUGACCCCUUUAAUGGAACUGAACAUAGGGGUCUGAUAAAAUUGCUGAUUUAAAGGUCCAGUCUGUAAUUUUUUGGAAGAUGUAUUGACAGAAAUGCAAUAUAAUAUACAGUAACUAUGUCUUCAGAGGUGUAUGAAGAGCUUACACAGUGAAGCGUUAUGAUUUUAUUACCUUAGAAUGAGCUAUUUCUAUCCACAUACACCGCGGGUCCGCUUGCAUAUAAUUCACCAUGUUCUGUCAGCCAUCGUACUGUUUCGAACGGGAGGGGGAGGGAUGGAGUGAGCGGUUGGUUGCAAUCGCAACCUUGCCGCUAGAUUUUGGACCUUUAAAAGAAACAAAGUUUGACAGAUUUAGGGGUGAUUCACAUUUCGCGUCUAAAACCGCGUGGAAAAACACGAGCCCCACUGCUUUCUUCUUUUUCCCCCAAAGCGCCUAUUUUGCACUCUCCUGGCAUCUGUCGUUGCUAAGCAACCAUGGGCCACACUAGCCAUUGAGACGAGGAGGUGUAGACAAAGGAUAUAUGGACUAUGCACUGAAAAUACCUUGCAAUAACUCUGCUACUAGAUUUAUUUAUGCUGUGACCUUCUGUCUCUCUAUCUCUAUCACUGAGCUUGCCUAUAUUGGUUGGUUGGUUCUUGUCACAUGACCUGCGGUGCAUGUGCGGCAUUCUGAAAAGUUUAAUCUUGAUGCAGUGCUGACAGGCGACUUGCGUGCUGCGACCGCGUUGCUCCAUAUUUGAGCGCGCUUGCCACGAUCUACAUCUAAAAUAACGAAUUUUCGUGAGCAAAAGACACAGAAAGUGAACAGCCCCUUUGAGGGUUUUGCAUCUGAACUCUUUAUAUAUUCUUUGAAUUAAUUUGUACAUUUCUCUGUACAGAGAUAACCAUUUGUUAGAUUUAAAUCUAAAGACUUCUAGUAGAGCAGCUGUAGAUUAUGAAAUGUUUGCAUCUGAAACAAAGACAUAUUACAGGACUUAUUCUGUUAGCAGCACUGAAAUUGGAAGCAGUAUAUAUUUUAUUUUGUGAUCUACUUUGUUGAUUUUCAGGAGCUAUUUGUACUUUAAUGAGGGCAUUUUGUUUCAGUUGACUACUUUCCCAUAACAUUGAAUAGAGCUUAUUGUUUUCAUAUUUGGUAAAUUAUUUAUUUGCAGCAAUUAUUUAUAUUCAAUCCCUUUAUUUUUUCUAAUCUUUUCUUUGUCGCUUUGGAUAUAAGCAAAUGCCAAAAUGUAAAUGUUAAUCACAUCUAUACUCAAAAGAUUUUAAGAUUGAAAACAGUCUAUUUCAGUUUUUCAUGACAC